GCUUGGGUGGCUCAGUCGGUUGAGCGUCUGACUUCAGCUCACGUCAUGGUCUCAUGGUUUGUGAGUUCAAGCCCCACCCCGGGCU
rnacentral:tRNA from 1 species